UCCGUAGGUGAACCUGCGGAGGGAUCAUUACCGAGUUUACAACUCCCAAACCCCUGUGAACAUACCUAUACGUUGCCUCGGCGGAUCAGCCCGCGCCCCGUAAAAAGGGACGGCCCGCCCGAGGACCCCUAAACUCUGUUUUUAGUGGAACUUCUGAGUAAAACAAACAAAUAAAUCAAAACUUUCAACAACGGAUCUCUUGGUUCUGGCAUCGAUGAAGAACGCAGCAAAAUGCGAUAAGUAAUGUGAAUUGCAGAAUUCAGUGAAUCAUCGAAUCUUUGAACGCACAUUGCGCCCGCCAGUAUUCUGGCGGGCAUGCCUGUUCGAGCGUCAUUUCAACCCUCAAGCUCAGCUUGGUGUUGGGACUCGCGGUAACCCGCGUUCCCCAAAUCGAUUGGCGGUCACGUCGAGCUUCCAUAGCGUAGUAAUCAUACACCUCGUUACUGGUAAUCGUCGCGGCCACGCCGUAAAACCCCAACUUCUGAAUGUUGACCUCGGAUCAGGUAGGAAUACCCGCUGAACUUAAGCAUAUCAAUAAGCGGAGGA
rnacentral:rRNA from 1 species